UCGAGAAUUUUUCUCAAUGGGCGAAAGCCUGAAGGAGCGACGCCGCGUGGGGGAUGAAUGGCUUCGGCCCGUAAACCCCUGUCAUUUGCGAACAAAUUAAUUCACCCAACACGUGGAUUAUUGAUUGUAGCGGAAGAGGAAGGGACGGCUAACUCUGUGCCAGCAGCCGCGGUAAUACAGAGGUCCCAAGCGUUGUUCGGAUUCACUGGGCGUAAAGGGUGCGUAGGCGGUUGGGUAAGUUUGACGUGAAAUCUCCGGGCCUAACCCGGAAACUGCGUUGAAUACUACCCAGCUAGAGGAUUGGAAGGGAGACUGGAAUACUUGGUGUAGCAGUGAAAUGCGUAGAUAUCAAGUGGAACACCAGUGGCGAAGGCGAGUCUCUGGACAAUUCCUGACGCUGAGGCACGAAAGCCAGGGGAGCAAACGGG
rnacentral:rRNA from 1 species